rnacentral:rRNA from 1 species
GACGAACGCUGGCGGCGUGCUUAACACAUGCAAGUCGAACGAAGAGCGAUGGAAGCUUGCUUCUAUCAAUCUUAGUGGCGAACGGGUGAGUAACGCGUAAUCAACCUGCCCUUCAGAGGGGGACAACAGUUGGAAACGACUGCUAAUACCGCAUACGAUCUAAUCUCGGCAUCGAGGAUAGAUGAAAGGUGGCCUCUACAUGUAAGCUAUCACUGAAGGAGGGGAUUGCGUCUGAUUAGCUAGUUGGGGGGGUAACGGCCCACCAAGGCGAUGAUCAGUAGGUGGUGUGGGAGAAUGAACGGCCAAAUGGGGACGGAGCCACGCCCAAGACUCCUACGGGGGGCGCCGGUGGGGAAUUUUCGGCAAUGGACGAAAUUCUGCCGGAGCAACCCCGCGUGGGUGAUGACGCCCUCCGGUUUGUAAGGCUUGGUUAAUCGGGACAAAAGGCCUUCUUGCGAAAAGUGGGAAGGAUGGACGUUACCGGAAAAGAAGGCCAGGCCUAAUUAGUU